GGUCGUUGGGAUAGACAUUCCAUUGUCAAGAUGGCGUCUCCACUCCUGGUCUGGGAUGGCUGGUAGUUGAUGUGGCUGCUGGGGAAGCCAUAUUCCAUAACCCACUAAGCAGCCCUUCAUCUGAGUCGGAAGUAAGUGGGAUGGUUGACUCAGCACCUCCAAUCCUCGGCGGGAAAGCGGCUGCAGCCCUUGACAGUGAUACUGGGAUCAGCAUUAUAGCAACUUAAUUGAUUUUAAAAUAAAAAAUCUUACAAGCCU